rnacentral:rRNA from 1 species
AAAUGUGGAGCCGUAGCGAAAGCGAGUCUGAAUAGGGCGUAUAGUAUUUGGUCGUAGACCCGAAACCAGGUGAUCUACCCAUGGUCAGGUUGAAGUUCAGGUAACACUGAAUGGAGGACCGAACCGACUUACGUUGAAAAGUGAGCGGAUGAACUGUGGGUAGCGGAGAAAUUCCAAUCGAACUUGGAGAUAGCUGGUUCUCUCCGAAAUAGCUUUAGGGCUAGCCUCAAGUGAUGAUUAUUGGAGGUAGAGCACUGUUUGGACGAGGGGCCCCUCUCGGGUUACCGAAUUCAGACAAACUCCGAAUGCCAAUUAAUUUAACUUGGGAGUCAGAACAUGGGUGAUAAGGUCCGUGUUCGAAAGGGAAACAGCCCAGACCACCAGCUAAGGUCCCAAAAUAUAUGUUAAGUGGAAAAGGAUGUGGCGUUGCCCAGACAACUAGGAUGUUGGCUUAGAAGCAGCCAUCAUUUAAAGAGUGCGUAAUAGCUCACUAGUCGAGUGACACUGCGCCGAAAAUGUACCGGGGCUAAACAUAUUACCGAAGCUGUGGAUUGUCCUUUGGACAAUGGUAGGAGAGCGUUCUAAGGGCGUUGAAGCAUGAUCGCAAGGACAUGUGGAGCGCUUAGAAGUGAGAAUGCCGGUGUGAGUAGCGAAAGACGGGUGAGAAUCCCGUCCACCGAUUGACUAAGGUUUCCAGAGGAAGGCUCGUCCGCUCUGGGUUAGUCGGGUCCUAAGCUGAGGCCGACAGGCGUAGGCGAUGGAUAACAGGUUGAUAUUCCUGUACCACCUAUAAUCGUUUUAAUCGAUGGGGGGACGCAGUAGGAUAGGCGAAGCGUACGAUUGGAUUGUACGUCUAAGCAGUGAGAUUGAGUGUUAGGCAAAUCCGGCACUCUUAAGAUUGAGCUGUGAUGGGGAGAGGAAAUUGUUUCCUCGAGUCGUUGAUUUCACACUGCCGAGAAAAGCCUCUAGAUAGAGAUUAGGUGCCCGUACCGCAAACCGACACAGGUAGUCAAGAUGAGAAUUCUAAGGUGAGCGAGCGAACUCUCGUUAAGGAACUCGGCAAAAUGACCCCGUAACUUCGGGAGAAGGGGUGCUCUUUAGGGUGCAAGCCCAGAAGAGCCGCAGUGAAUAGGCCCAAGCGACUGUUUAUCAAAAACACAGGUCUCUGCUAAACCGUAAGGUGAUGUAUAGGGGCUGACGCCUGCCCGGUGCUGGAAGGUUAAGAGGAGUGGUUAGCUUCUGCGAAGCUACGAAUCGAAGCCCCAGUAAACGGCGGCCGUAACUAUAACGGUCCUAAGGUAGCGAAAUUCCUUGUCGGGUAAGUUCCGACCCGCACGAAAGGCGUAACGAUUUGGGCACUGUCUCAACGAGAGACUCGGUGAAAUCAUAGUACCUGUGAAGAUGCAGGUUACCCGCGACAGGACGGAAAGACCCCGUGGAGCUUUACUGUAGCCUGAUAUUGAAAUUCGGCACAGCUUGUACAGGAUAGGUAGGAGCCUUUGAAACGUGAGCGCUAGCUUACGUGGAGGCGUUGGUGGGAUACUACCCUAGCUGUGUUGGCUUUCUAACCCGCACCACUUAUCGUGGUGGGAGACAGUGUCAGGCGGGCAGUUUGACUGGGGCGGUCGCCUCCUAAAAGGUAACGGAGGCGCUCAAAGGUUCCCUCAGAAUGGUUGGAAAUCAUUCAUAGAGUGUAAAGGCAUAAGGGAGCUUGACUGCGAGACCUACAAGUCGAGCAGGGUCGAAAGACGGACUUAGUGAUCCGGUGGUUCCGCAUGGAAGGGCCAUCGCUCAACGGAUAAAAGCUACCCCGGGGAUAACAGGCUUAUCUCCCCCAAGAGUUCACAUCGACGGGGAGGUUUGGCACCUCGAUGUCGGCUCAUCGCAUCCUGGGGCUGUAGUCGGUCCCAAGGGUUGGGCUGUUCGCCCAUUAAAGCGGUACGCGAGCUGGGUUCAGAACGUCGUGAGACAGUUCGGUCCCUAUCCGUCGUGGGCGUAGGAAAUUUGAGAGGAGCUGUCCUUAGUACGAGAGGACCGGGAUGGACAUACCUCUGGUGUACCAGUUGUCGUGCCAACGGCAUAGCUGGGUAGCUAUGUAUGGACGGGAUAAGUGCUGAAAGCAUCUAAGCAUGAAGCCCCCCUCAAGAUGAGAUUUCCCAACUUCGGUUAUAAGAUCCCUCAGAGAUGAUGAGGUUAAUAGGUUCGAGGUGGAAGCGUGGUGACACGUGGAGCUGACGAAUACUAAUCGAUCGAAGACUUAAUCAA